GGGGGUUUCAUCAGGAAGGGCUUCUGGAGUAGACCGUGACUCAAAGCAAAUAUUCAGAUUCCUGUGAGCAGAUUACACAGAAGACGCCUUUUUCAACAGGAUAUUAUUAUUAUUUUUAUUUUUUUGCGACGUCCUGCUCAGCUGACAGAGACAAAGACUUACAGAAGGAUGUACUACAGUACUUAUGUACUUGUACUUCUAGGUUGUACUUCUUAGGAGACAGAAACCUGCGACUGUCAAAAACCAAGUACUGAUUACAGGUCAAAGACUUUCAUUGUGGUUCUUCUUUUGCAGGCUGUUAUGCAAAGCUGUAAUUCCCCUUUAAAAGCGACAUAGAAACUGAGGUUCACAAACAAAUACAUUUCUCCAUAUGAAGACAAAUGCCAGCGCCGCGGUCACGUGUCUUACCGGUACAGUACAUUUGUCUAAACUGGAGUACACGGGUUGCUAAGAGACGCAUGAGAGUGUGUGUGCGAUGGCUGUGUGUGUGUGUUUGCGUGUUUGUGGAAUGUGUGACGUCUGCUCUCUUACACAGGGGCGUGGUUGUCUGUGCGGGACAACACCACACACACACACACACCACAAACACACACACACAUACACACAUAACCAAGGUUACAGGGAACGACCGGGAAGUCAUAAAGGCAACAGCCCACAAACAACAACCUUCUAAAGUUUGUGUUAGUGAAGAGGGGGUGGGGGGGGUGAGGGUAAAAGAGCUUGAACACAAAUUUAAAUACAAACUUAUCUAACAUUUACAGAUUACUUCAGUAAAAAAUAAAAAAACAAAAAUGAGAAUUUGAAAUUAUUUUCCGACUGGAACCAUUUUGUUGUUUGUGUUCACAGAGAUUGUAAGAUUAUGUUUAUGUCUAGUGUAGUUUACUUUAUUCAACCUGUCCUGUAUUAUAUUUUAAAACCAGCUCUUUGGGUUAGUUGCUGUAUUCAUAUAUAUGUAAAUUAUAAUAUUAUCUGUUGGUUUAAGAAAGCCAGUUAAAAAUCUUUUACAUACAACAGAGAAGAAUUAUUAAUUAAAAUUUAAACAAUUACGACUAUGUUUUAAAUUUUCUAAAAGAAAAAUCUUUCUUUUAAAAUAUCUAGUUUUUUAACAGAAUAAAAAAUAUCUACUUGAUGUUGUUGCAAAGCUGCAUGAACAAUACAUGAAUAUUUGCUCUGCAAAAAAUAAAUAAAUAAUUAAAAAAAACAAAGUAGUAGUUUUGUUUAUUUUCAUUUUUAUCAUCUAAACUCUCAAUUAAAAUCCCAAACCAAAAUGUUUUAUCCAAAAGAUUCUCUUAAAUACUAUAAUUUAACUAUAAAGAAUAUAAAUGAUGUUGAAAAAGUAUUAUUUUAUCUAAAUAAAAGAUCUAUUCUUUAAUUUUUCUGUACUCUCAAAUGUACUCAACACACAGGGCGGCAGCCACUCUCCACAUCAGCACGACACCGUACACUGGUGUAGUGAGUGGCAGUAAAUAAAGGAAUUUCAUUUGUGUGAUUGUGAUUAAUUAUGUGAUUUUUUUAAGGAAAACUUCAAUCUUCAAGACACAAUCUUCAUUUUAGUUUUGAAACAGUUCUCAGAAUUUUUUUAUAAUAAACCUGAUGAUGAUUGAAACACAUUUGAUAUAUAUAUAAAAAAACACUUCAAUGUACAAUUAAAUCACCAAAAGUACCAGAGUAUCUAAUGUUUGUUUGAUUUGAACUGGAACGCUGCGCCUUCAGUUUUCUUCAGUUCUCUGUUGACUUAAACAGACUUUGCUCAUUUAUUAGCAGCUGUGCGGCCAAUUACCUCCCUGCCCCCUUUCCUGUCCUGGGAGGGCAGGGAGGAGGUGAAGGGGCAAGGGAGGGAAGUAGAGUAGGAAAGGGGAGGGCUCUUCUCCUCUGACAUCGUCAUAAAGGAAUCCCCUGCUCCGGGAUGGGCCCGCCCCCUCCCUCACUCUCACUCUGUCUGGCUCCCAGACGCACUUGUGUUCACACACACUCCUGUCUGCACGGACAGAGGAGAGGCAGACUGACAGGGCAGACAAAGACUGGAAGACGCUGAGAGACGGAGAGGGGACGGUGAGACGGAGGGACAGGAGGACAUCUGUGAAGUUCAAGUGCACGCUGGAGACCACGGGGACGGCGACUGAGGAAAAGGAGUUUUUUUUCUUUUUUUUUUUAAACAAACAUUUUUCUCAGUGGCAGCAGGGCGGCCGUACACUAAGUACAGGGCUGGUGGUGGUGAGGGUGUUUGGCAACGAAAGAGGCUGUGGAUAGGGUUACACACACUGGGACAAACCACACUCUAGGGCUGGGCUCUGCGCUGCUGAGGCUAACUUCACAGGCCAGAGAGGCUCGGCUCUUCUUCUCUUCUCUUCCCUUUUUGUUUUCAUCUGGAGCCGAAAAUACAUUUUUUUAUAUU